CUACGGGAUGCAGCAGUGAGGAAUAUUGCACAAUGGGGGGAACCCUGAUGCAGCAACGCCGCGUGGAGGAUGACGCAUUUCGGUGUGUAAACUCCUUUUAUAUGUCAAGAAAAUGACGGUAGCAUAUGAAUAAGCACCGGCUAACUCCGUGCCAGCAGCCGCGGUAAUACGGAGGGUGCAAGCGUUACUCGGAGUCACUGGGCGUAAAGGACGCGUAGGCGGGUUGGAAAGUCAGGUGUGAAAUCCUACAGCUUAACAGUAGAACUGCACUUGAAACUUCUAAUCUAGAGUAUGGGAGGGGGAGAUGGAAUUAGUGGUGUAGGGGUAAAAUCCGUAGAUAUCACUAGGAAUACCUAAAGCGAAGGCGAUCUCCUGGAACAUUACUGACGCUAAGGCGUGAAAGCGUGGGGAGCAAACAGGAUUAGAUACCCCAGUAGUC
rnacentral:rRNA from 1 species